GCCCCGCCGUAAACUUUUAUUUACAUCACAACCACCGGGGAACUACGAGCCAAGCUUAAAACCCAAAGGACUUGACGGUACCCCACAUCCUCCUAGAGGAGCCUGUCCUACAAUCGAUAAUCCACGUUUAACCUCACCAUUUCUAGUUAAUCAGCCUGUAUACCUCCGUCGUCAGCUUACCACGUGAGCGUUAAUUAGUGAGCCCAAUGUAUUUCACCAAGACGUCAGGUCAAGGUGCAGUAAAUGAAAUGGAAAGAGAUGGGCUACACUUUCUACUUUAGAAAAAACGAAAAACUACCUAUGAAAUCUAGUUAGAAGGCGGAUUUAGUAGUAAAAAGGAAUCAACAUGUCCAUUUUAACCCGGCACUGGGGUGUGC
rnacentral:rRNA from 1 species